rnacentral:rRNA from 1 species
AGAGUUUGAUCCUGGCUCAGGAUGAACGCUAGCGGCAGGCCUAAUACAUGCAAGUCGAACGGGUGGUAGCAAUACCACUAGUGGCGCACGGGUGCGUAACGCGUAACCAACCUGCCCUUGACUGGGGGAUAGCCCGCCGAAAGGCGGAUUAAUACCGCAUAAACUAGCAGCUCGGCAUCGAGUAACUAGUAAAGAUUUAUUGGUCAAGGAUGGGGUUGCGUGACAUUAGCUAGUUGGCGGGGUAACGGCCCACCAAGGCGACGAUGUCUAGGGGACCUGAGAGGGUGAUCCCCCACACUGGCACUGAGAUACGGGCCAGACUCCUACGGGAGGCAGCAGUAGGGAAUAUUGGGCAAUGGGCGAGAGCCUGACCCAGCCAUGCCGCGUGCCGGAUGAAGGCCUUCUGGGUUGUAAACGGCUUUUCUCAGGGAAGAAAAAGACCAUGCGUGGUACACUGACGGUACCUGAGGAAUAAGCACCGGCUAACUCCGUGCCAGCAGCCGCGGUAAUACGGAGGGUGCAAGCGUUGUCCGGAUUUAUUGGGUUUAAAGGGUGCGUAGGCGGCCCGUUAAGUCCGGGGUGAAAGCCCACAGCUCAACUGUGGAACUGCCCUGGAUACUGGCGGGCUUGAGUCCAGACGAGGUUGGCGGAAUGGAAGGUGUAGCGGUGAAAUGCAUAGAUACCUUCCAGAACCCCGAUUGCGUAGGCAGCUGACUAGGCUGGUACUGACGCUGAGGCACGAAAGCGUGGGGAGCGAACAGGAUUAGAUACCCUGGUAGUCC